rnacentral:rRNA from 1 species
UACUAGAGUAGCACUCGCAUAUCAAUAAGCGGAGGAAAAGAAACUAACAAGGAUUCCCCUAGUAACGGCGAGUGAAGCGGGAAGAGCUCAAAUUUGAAAUCUUAAAGGGUUUCCCUUUACGAAUUGUAGUUUAAAGAAGUGUUUUCUGUUGAGGUUUUGGUAAAAGUUCUUUGGAAUAGGACAUCAUAGAGGGUGAGAAUCCCGUAUUUGACCUUUACUUUCAACUUUGUGAUACACUUUCAAAGAGUCGGAUUGUUUGGGAAUGCAGUCCAAAAUGGGUGGUAAAUUUCAUCUAAAGCUAAAUAUUGGCGAGAGACCGAUAGCGAACAAGUACCGUGAGGGAAAGAUGAAAAGAACUUUGAAAAGAGAGUUAAACAGUACGUGAAAUUGUCAAAAGGGAAGCGUUUGACACCAGUGUUGUUUUUCUGAAAAUCAAUUAAAGAACUGUUUAUGCUAAGCUGUUUAGACUUUAUCAGCUAUCUGUUUAGUUUUGAGCUUUUCUUUAAUGCACUUUUCAGUUAACAAGUCAACAUCAAUUUCUUUUGCUGUAAAAAAGCUUGAGGGAAGGUGGCUUGAGAUUCGUCUUAAGUGUUUAUAGCCUCUUGCCUAUGCAGUCGGAGAGAUUGAGGUCUGCAGCGUAGAUCCUUCGGGGCUAAAUGCAUUUGUGCUAAGUUAUAGCAUUUUAUAGACAACUUGUUGACUAUGAUUUGUCUUGUAGCUUACUCGCUUAUGUUAUUUUACCUACGCUUAGGAUGUUGAGUCAUCACACAUCUCU